AAUAAAAAAGUUCCAAAAAAUGAUUUUACAGACCCAAAACCUAGGCAAAACAGAAAAUAGAGAAGGCACGAAGUGGGGAUUGGGGAGAGAGAAAAAUCUGCCACCAUCAGAGAGACAGGCCGUGUACCCAUAACCAGUAAAUUGUCGAUAAAGGCUACGACAUUCACUGAUCAAAGUGAUUGAGGUAUGAAAUGCAUUAGAAUGAGUACCAAAAUUAAAGGAAACAGAGGUCUCUUCUCACGAAACCUUGCAAGAAGUUGUUCUCCCAGGUCCAGCACAAAUUCUGAUGUGUACCUCUCAUUUCUUUCAAGACUUUGUUUCCUCAAUGAUGCUAUUAGCCCAAAGCACUGACUCCUUCAAGAUUUCAAUUUGCUUCCAAUAAGGUGGUUGACAACUUUCAUUGUGAUUUUAUGGUUAGGUUGUGUACAUGAAAGCUUUCUGAGACACCAUUUAAUAAAAAUGCAAAUUAUAGUAGGACACAAUGGAGGAAAUUAUAAGAAAAUCAAGGAAGGACAAGUACAUAGCCAGUCAAAAAAUAGAAAUAGGACAAACAUCUGUUGAAAGACCUUAAUUAACUGCUCUUAUAUCUACUGAAGAUGGAAGAAUUGGCAAUAAAAGAAUGCCGCUCCAAAUGCUUCAAAAACGUCAAAAGGGUACUAAGCAGAUUUUUUGAUUGGUAGGUGGUUGACAACUUUCAUUGUGAUUUUAUGGUUAGGUUAUGUACAUGAAAGCUUUUUGAGACACCAUUUAAUAAAAAUGCAAAUUAUAGUAGGACACAAUGGAGGAAAUUGUAAGAAAAUCAAGGAAGGACAAGUACAUAGCCAGUCAAAAAAUAGAAAUAGGACAAACAUCUGU